UGAAAUCAUCACCACAACCAAGCCAAGUGCAUCCAUCGCUCAGGCAGUCACCAUGGUGUGAGUGCGGUGAGACGGCUUUGAUCUGGCUCUCAGCCACUUCUGAUGCUCCUGGUACCUGCAGUCACCACGCUGCACCCAGGCUUCUGUGUGUGUUCAUCCCACAGCUGCAGCAGCCCAAAGGGAUGAGAAGAUGGAUAUGGCCCGGAGAUAAUGCACACCUCUCGUGGGGACAGUGUCCCCAUCCCCCUCCGGCUGCACUGAAGACCUGGAGCAAUGGCUGCCAUCCAUGCGCGAGGACCCCUCGGAGGUUCCACCUGCACAGACCUUGCUAAGGGUGAGGUGAUUACUAGAAGGAGCACCUUUUCUAGUUAAAAUCUAACUAGAUUCUCCUUGGCAACUUGUCUUACAGAAACAGGUAUAGACUAUCACCUUGCCCAGCUGGGCGCAUCUUCGGAGGGAGGCCUGGGGCCACGUGCACCUAAUGAAGGUG
rnacentral:lncRNA from 10 species